rnacentral:rRNA from 1 species
GUCGAGAAUCUUUUGCAAUGCCCGAAAGGGUGACAAUGCGACGCCGCGUGUGCGAUGAAGGCCUUCGGGUCGUAAAGCACUGUCAGCUGGAAGGAAUCUCCUAUUCUAUAACAUAGGAUCGGGGUGACAGUACCAGCAGAGGAAGCCACGGCUAACUCCGUGCCAGCAGCCGCGGUAAUACGGAGGUGGCAGGCGUUACUCGGAUUGAUUGGGUGUAAAGGGUGUGUAGGUGGUUGAUUAAGUCGAAUGUGAAAUCCCAUGGCUCAACCAUGGAACUGCAUUUGAUACUGAUCGGCUUGAGCGAUAGAGAGGUAAGUGGAAUUCCCGGUGUAACAGUGAAAUGUGUAGAUAUCGGGAGGAACACCAGUGGCGAAGGCGACUUACUGGCUAUCUGCUGACACUGAAACACGAGAGCAUGGGGAGCAAACAGGAUUAGAAACCCGGGUAGUCC